rnacentral:rRNA from 1 species
GACGAACGCUGGCGGCGUGCUUAACACAUGCAAGUCGAACGAAGUGGCGAACGGGUGAGUAAUACGUGGGUAACCUGCCCUCCUCUUUGGGAUAAGCCUUGGAAACGGGGUCUAAUACCGAAUAAAGGGGGAUGGGCUCGGGACCGAUCAGCUUGUUGGUGGGGUGCUGGCCUAGCAAGGCGGUGACGGGUAGCCGGGAUGAGCGGGUGCCCGUCGACGUGGGGACUGAGAUACGGCCCAAACUCCUACGGGAGGCAGCAGUGGGGGAUAGUGCACAGUGGGCGAAAGGCGGAUGCGGCGACGCCGCGUGGGGGAUGAGGGCUUUCGGGUUGUAAACCUCUUUCGGUAUCGACCGGGUAGGUGAAGAAGAAGCGCCGGCUAACUACGUGCCAGCAGCCGCGGUAAUAC